GGGGGGAACUCUGACGGAGCCACGCCGCGUAAACAAGGAAGUACUUCGGUAUGUAAAGUUCUUUUAUUGAAAAAGAAAAAAUAGUGGAAAAACUAUCUUGACAUUAUUCAAUGAAUAAGCCCCGGCUAAUUAUGUGCCAGCAGCCGCGGUAAUACAUAAGGGGCGAGCGUUAUCCGGAAUUAUUGGGCGUAAAGGGUGCGUAGGCGGUUUGAUAAGUCUAUAGUUUAAAUGCAGUGCUUAACGCUGUAGCGCUAUAGAAACUGUCUGACUAGAGUUAGAUAGAGGCAAGCGGAAUUCCAUGUGUAGCGGUAAAAUGCGUAAAUAUAUGGAGGAACACCAGAGGCGUAGGCGGCUUGCUGGGUCUUAACUGACGCUGAGGCACGAAAGCGUGGGGAGCAAACAGGAUUAGAUACCCUGGUAGUCCACGCCGUAAACGAUGAGUACUAAGUGUCGGGUUUCGACUCGGUACUGAAGUUAACACAUUAAGUACUCCGCCUGAGUAGUACGUACGCAAGUAUGAAACUUAAAGGAAUUGACGGGACCCCGCACAAGCGGUGGAUCAUGUUGUUUAAUUCGAAGAUACACGAAAAACCUUACCAGGUCUUGACAUAAUUUUGCGACAUUAUAGAAAUAUAAUGAAGGUUAUCAGAAUUACAGGUGGUGCAUGGUUGUCGUCAGCUCGUGUCGUGAGAUGUUAGGUUAAGUCCUAAAACGAGCGCAACCCUUGUCGUUAGUUGCGACCACGUAAUGGUGAGCACUUUAGCGAGACUGCCAAUGAAAAAUUGGAGGAAGGUGAGGAUUACGUCAAAUCAUCAUGCCCCUUAUGGUCUGGGCUACAAACGUGAUACAAUGGCUGUUACAAAGAGUAGCUGUAACGUGAGUUUAUGGCCAAUCUCAAAAAAACAGUCUCAGUUCGGAUUGAAGUCUGCAACUCGACUUCAUGAAGUUGGAAUCGCUAGUAAUCGCGAAUCAGCAUGUCGCGGUGAAUACGUUCUCGGGGUUUGUACACACCGCCCGUCAAACCACGAAAGUUGAUAAUACCCGAAAGCGGUCGCCUAACUUCGUUAGAAGAGGGAGCCGUCUAAGGUAGGAUCGAUGAUUGGGGUUAAGUCGUAACAAGGUAUCCCUACCGGAAGGUGGGGAUGGAUCACCUCCUUCUUAAGGAAAUUUCC
rnacentral:rRNA from 1 species